rnacentral:lncRNA from 1 species
CUGGUGGUCAUAGUCCUAUAAAUCAACCUGUAGAUAGUUCUGCUCGUCAUGAGGCAGUGAAACAGUUUUUCAAACAGGUAUGCCUAAUUAAUCAACACAACAGACCAGGCUUACCCAACUUUCUGCUCAGCUUUCUGACUUGUUGUUUUGGUUCGAACAGCAUUUGGAUGCCACGCCAACAGAGGAGACCAAGUCCUUUAUGACUUUUGUCAUUCCUCAUGACAGGGAGAAGCUUCUCACAGUAAGCAGUCUCUUGUCAUCUCCUAAUUUUUAACCGACUUGCUUGUUUCAACUUGGUAGGCUUGGAAUUGAGCCCAUCUGGUAUAUGCAUAAAAGUGUUUUAGACAUAGCAGAUCCAGAUAGAUAAAAGUGUUGGGAUGUCAAAGAUGCAUGAUUUUCUUUAUAAUGUGUUCAGUAAGAACCAGAUCUAGAUGGAAAUUUUCUUGUCAAUCUUGAAAAAUACUCCUCUUCUCUUUUUAGACAUAUCAGACAUGUUUAUGUGUAUGAUGGACUAUUUUUGGCUGACCAUCUCAGUUAAAUUUGGUUGUAUUUGUUUUCUUGCUCCUCCCUGACACUUCAAAAUCCUUCUUUAGAGCGUUUUUGCUGAACUUGAAGAUAGACAAACAGAGUUGGGAAUAAGUGAUAUUCAGCUCGGUCUGGCAACUCUAGAAGAAGUGUUCUUAAAUAUUGCAAGGCAAGCGGAAGUGGAGAGUGCCACAGCUGAGGGGCGUUUUGUUACUCUAAAUUUAACUUCUGGAAACUCACUUGAGGUUAGUAUCGUAGCAAACUACUUAACUAAGCAAGGGAAACCAUAAUUUUUUGUGACAUACUCCUGCUAUGAUACUGCAGAUACCAGUAGGAAUCAGCCUGGUCGGAAUCCCAGGUACAGAAUCCAGUGAAAACCCUAGAGGCCUCAUGGUUAAAGUGUUCUGGGAGCAAGACGACACAGGUGCCCUUUGUGUAUCAGGGCAUUCACCUGAAGUGCCUAUACCUCCUGAGGUCCAGCCAUCAAUGCCUGCAGUUGCAGCCUCAGGAAGCAACUUGUUAGGUAGGAGAGGGCCAGUUUACGGACUUAUUAUCGAUCCCAGUCAGAUUCGCUCAGCUGAUCCAAUAUGAUAUUACACUGGUAGUUCUUGAUUUGUCCAUACCCUCCAGUCAAUCUUCUAGUUGCAGUUGCAGUUGCAGAGUAAUUCUUUUCUGGUGAUAUUAUUUUGUCCACGUAGAUAAAGGAGGUAUACAUGUGACAUGGAAUUAGUAUAGGAGGGCGUCAUUAGAGAAAGACAGGGCUGUAUUAUAGAGAAAGAAGAUGGUUACCACACCACUUGUUUGUUUUUGUUGGCCUGUUAGGCGUCAGAUAUAUACUUUUUUUCAAAGGUACUUGUUCCUAUGUUUACAUUGCAACUGUGAGUUUGUAACGUAUUUUUUUUUAUGAAGUUUGCAACGUAUUCAAUUAUAAUGGAUCGUGAAGGUUUUGGGUUACAUUAUUUUCCUGGUGUGGCAGCGGAGACAUGUCGAGCAAUUCAAUAUGGGUAUGAUCAAGGUCGAUUUAUUAUUGGAGUAGAUGAUAUGUUGUAAGAUUUUUGCUUGAAUUCAAUUACAAACUUAUCUUGUAUAGUUUUUUCAGAUAUAAAUCUGAUUGUCAUGUGGCAAAAGCUGAUUGUAGUGACGGAUGUGGGGCAUCUUCUACUUCACCGCCUAGCCCAUUUUCAUAUCUAAAACUUAAAUAUUAGGCAAUUUUUAUUAUAUUUAUAGGUUGUUUAGUAUAUUUUGUAUAUGUAACUUAAUAAAUUUUAACUCAUUUAUGAUCCAACCUAGUGUAUUAAACCAUCUUAAAUUUGAUGUUAGUUAAAUGAUAAUUUGAAGUCAUUGACUUCCCUUAGGCAAAAUCUUGGCGUAUAAUAAUAAAGGAAUAUGAUUAUAGGUCUUUUUUGUCAUAGAUAGCUCUCGACCGGAAUAAUCUAGACAGCAAGUAACAAGCAAAUAUAAUUUAAGAAUCAACCCAGGCUAUAAGAUCAAUCUUAAAACAGUAUGAGAGAUAUUAAAGAGCCUUUUACUCACUACUAAGUGGACAGCUCCAUUAGCAGACCGUUGAACAACCUGCAUAUGGAGCCGAGGACAAGGAGUCAGGGAGGCAGUGACUGUGAAGUGAUGGCAUUGCUAGGCUUGGCAUCGGAUCGGGGUUCGGCCGAAUACCCUAUAUCUGAAAUCCGCUAAUUUUCCCCGGCGAUUAUCCCCGGAUCCGCCCCGUGAACGGUUUCGGAGUUCAAAUCUAUCCCACCCCGUGGCCGGCGAGUAUCGGACAUCCAACGGGUCAGGACAAUAUCCCCGAAUGCUGAAGCUCUUAAGCUCCGACGGGUCAACCUUUGCCUCUGAAGCUCUGAACGUUUCCUGCACCAACAAUCAAUAAUACAACAAUCAACAGAUUAGAUGAUAACACAAUUACGCAUGUCUGGAAAAUUAGAAUUAUGGAAAUCAAAACUUCAAGUUAAAGGCUUAUAGCAGCAGACUUAUAAAAUUUUCUUUUCAAGACUUCGACAGUAUGAUCGAUUACUCGAUUUUGUAUCAAAUAUCAAACCGAAAAAGAUGAAAGGAUGAGAAAAGAUUAGAGUAGGUAUCAUUGAGAUAUUUAUACUAAACGAAAGCUAUAAAAAAAAAGAAAAGCAAAAAGCUUAACCUGGAGAUUUGAAUUGGCAUCGGGAAUGGCUGAAAACUGCAGAACCGAAGGGUUUCUUGGAGAUACGACGUUGGAUAUUGCCUAAACUAUGAAAGAUUUUGAUGAUUCUCGCCAAUUUUCACUCCAAUCGAGCGAAAAUAAUGAGGACCGAGAGGUUAGGAUUUCGUGCAUGCGCCGUUGGGGGUUUCGAAAUCGGAAAAAGGAAG